rnacentral:rRNA from 1 species
AAACCGGAGGAAGGUGGGGAUGACGUCAAAUCAUCAUGCCCCUUAUGACCUGGGCUACACACGUGCUACAAUGGAUGGUACAAAGGGCUGCAAACCUGCGAAGGUAAGCGAAUCCCAUAAAGCCAUUCUCAGUUCGGAUUGUAGGCUGCAACUCGCCUACAUGAAGCCGGAAUCGCUAGUAAUCGCGGAUCAGCAUGCCGCGGUGAAUACGUUCCCGGGCCUUGUACACACCGCCCGUCACACCACGAGAGUUUGUAACACCCGAAGUCGGUGAGGUAACCUUUAUGGAGCCAGCCGCCUAAGGUGGGACAGAUGAUUGGGGUGAAGUCGUAACAAG